UACGUAGGUGGCGAGCGUUGUCCGGAUUUACUGGGCGUAAAGAGCGCGCAGGCGGUCGUACAAGUCGCGUGUGAAAGCCCCCGGCUCAACUGGGGAGGGUCACGCGAUACUGUUCGACUCGAAGGCAGGAGAGGGUAGUGGAAUUCCCGGUGUAGUGGUGAAAUGCGUAGAUAUCGGGAGGAACACCAGUGGCGAAGGCGGGCAUCUGGGCCAACACUGACGCUGAGGCGCGAAAGCUAGGGGAGCAAACAGG
rnacentral:rRNA from 1 species